CGCAGAGAAGGUGACGUUUCCGACCCAGAUUUCCGGAUCGGUUAUCUGCGUUUAAGAGCAAGCAAGGCCAUAUCUUUGUGACGAAAGUGUAUGGGUCUGGGCCCACCUAGACUUUCGAACGACCAGAGAAUCCUGCAAAUGAUUUAAUACUGUAAGCACUAGUCAGUGCCCCGUCACUUCCACCCAUCGCCGCAAAUGCACGCGACUUGCGAUGACGAUGACGAUAGUCGAUAACCGAUUGGCGCAACACCGCCAGGUCUGCAACUAACUUCUCCAACAAAAGUUUCGCAACGACUAUUGGGCUGACAAAUGGAACUGCCCCUUCGAGCACCACAAAGUCAUUUGCACGCACACCCCGGUCGAGAGCCAGUUGAGAUAUCCUUGGGUGACGUUAGCGCAACUCAACGAAACAAUCAGAUGACGCUCUUCAGUGAGAGCCAAAGAGCGCUGUGUGUGGCAUGUGGAUCGUGUUCGGCUGCGGAGGAGUAGAAAGAGUUCGAGUGGUUGCUGUGACAGCGGCGUAUAAGAUGGAACACCGGUAACGGAACACACUUACUCUGAAGAGAGGAGAGUGUAAGCUGCAGACAGGGAGUUUCUCUUGAUAAGCACUUAUAUAAGGCGAAUAAAGGACUGUGGAUCCUGGCCUGGGAGGAAGGGUGGUAAGAAGAACGAGAGAGGGGGGGUUGUUUUAAGUUUGGGGGUUUGGUUGGUAUGCGAAAGUGAAAAUUUUAGUGUCUUAACUAAAAUGUUUAUCUGUUAAUCGAUCGAUUUUUAAUAUAAUUUUUAAUAUAUUUGUUUUUAAAAUAUAAUAGAAUUUCUUGCAAUAUAUAUACGUAUACAUACAUU